rnacentral:rRNA from 1 species
GGCGGCGUGCCUAACACAUGCAAGUCGAGCGAGAAAGCCCGCAAGGGCGAGUACAGCGGCGCACGGGUGAGUAACACGUGGGUAAUCUGCCCUGGAGUCCGGAAUAACUCGCCGAAAGGCGCGCUAAUGCCGGAUGAGACCACGGGGGCUUCGGCCCCUGCGGGAAAAGGUGGCCUCUGCAUGCAAGCUAUCACUUCAGGAUGAGCCCGCGGCCCAUCAGCUCGUUGGCGGGGUAACGGCCCACCAAGGCUACGACGGGUAGCUGGUCUGAGAGGACGAUCAGCCACACUGGAACUGAGACACGGUCCAGACUCCUACGGGAGGCAGCAGUGGGGAAUCUUGCGCAAUGGGCGAAAGCCUGACGCAGCAACGCCGCGUGUGUGAUGAAGGUCUUCGGAUCGUAAAGCACUGUCGGGAGGGACGAAUAAGGCGCCGGCUAACAUCCGGCGACGAUGACGGUACCUCCAAAGGAAGCACCGGCUAACUCUGUGCCAGCAGCCGCGGUAA